GGGUGCAGCUCAGUGGUAGAGCGUGUGCUCAUCAUGCACAAGGUCCCGGGUUCAAUCCCCGGUGUCUCCA